rfam:Gossypium hirsutum cultivar TM-1 unplaced genomic scaffold scaffold1091.1, whole genome shotgun sequence
UAUUGAAAAUUUCAUCAAUUUGUACUAUUAAAAACUGACAUAGUUGACAAAAUAACUAGAAAGUGACACGUGGAGUGCCAUGUGUACUUCAUGCUAACGUACAAGACCAUUUUUUAAUAGCAAAAAUGGAUGGAAUUUUUAAGA